UACGUAGGUGGCAAGCGUUGUCCGGAAUUAUUGGGCGUAAAGCGCGCGCAGGUGGUUCCUUAAGUCUGAUGUGAAAGCCCACGGCUCAACCGUGGAGGGUCAUUGGAAACUGGGGAACUUGAGUGCAGAAGAGGAAAGUGGAAUUCCCGGUGUAGUGGUGAAAUGCGUAGAUAUCGGGAGGAACACCAGUGGCGAAGGCGGCUAUCUGGGCUGAAACUGACGCUGAGGCGCGAAGGCUAGGGUAGCAAACAGG
rnacentral:rRNA from 1 species